UGGGGAAUAUUGCACAAUGGGCGCAAGCCUGAUGCAGCCAUGCCGCGUGUAUGAAGAAGGCCUUCGGGUUGUAAAGUACUUUCAGCGGGGAGGAAGGGAGUAAAGUUAAUACCUUUGCUCAUUGACGUUACCCGCAGAAGAAGCACCGGCUAACUCCGUGCCAGCAGCCGCGGUAAUACGGAGGGUGCAAGCGAUAAUCGGAAUUACUGGACGUAAAGCGCACGCAGGCGGUUUGUUAAGUCGGAUGUGAAAUCCUCGGGCUCCACCUGGGAACUGCAUCUGAUACUGGCAAGCUUGUGUCUCGUAGAGGGGGGUAGAAUUCCAGGUGUAGCGGUGAAAUGCGUAGAGAUCUGAAGGAAUACCGGUGGCGAAGGCGGCCCCCUGGACGAAGACUGACGCUCAGGUGCGAAAGCGUGGGGAGCAAACAGG
rnacentral:rRNA from 1 species